rnacentral:tRNA from 2 species
GGGUUCCCUCGGCUUUUGGUCAAAUCAACACUAACUUUUAAUCAGUAGGUCGCUGGUUCGAAUCCAGCUGGGCUCACCA